GUGUGCUGUACCCCAUUCCAAGGCUUGCCAUUCAUCUGGCUAAACUUGUGAUUGGCAUGUCUUGGAAUGAAGUAACGUACA
ensembl:miRNA